UAUUUUGUAAUUCAUAGAACAUAUAUUGUGUUUUAAUUUGAAGUGUACUUGCACAAUCUAAAAUGCUUCUUUUAUGCGACAAAAAAAACAAUGCGAAGCUUUCUCAGUUAGUUCACUUUUUUUUAAUUGGAUGUUCUUUGGCUUUGUUAUCGGAUAAUUCCAAUAUAUCCUACUUUUGGCCAUUUAAAGAUUUAUCAGUUCAAGAUGUUUUUACACAAAACAGAACCAAUAAUAGUUUACCGUUUGUGUAUGCCAAUGAUAAUGUUAGUCAUCUUCGGUUUUCAUCGCCACUCUUAAUGAUUUUUGGCACAUACAAAUUCAAUUCGUCUUGCUUUAUAAAUUUAAAAAAAUGUGCUCAUGGAUUGACUAUUAAGUUUUGGUUUCAGUUGGUUAAUGAGCAACCUCAUAAUGGAAACUUAAAUUUGAUUACAUUCUCAGGAGAUUUUUUUCAACCAAUAAAUGUAUGGGUGACAAUGGUUAAUGGACAACCUGUUUUUAAUGCAGAAUUUCAGAUUGAAUUAAAGGAAAGAUUAAAAAGGUUUUUGAGGAUUAUCAAAUUUGAAUCAACAUCAAUUAAAUUCCAAAAGUGGUAUUUUGUUAUUUUAAAGUUUGAUGGCAUUAACAACAGUAAUAAGUUUGCUACUUAUUUGGAUAACAAAAAACUUAACAGCAUAACUUCUAAACAAGUUUAUGGUUUUAAUGGCUCCUAUACAAACGUGGAUCUUGUUAUUGGUCCAAUAAUAACUGCUUUAGAGUCGCAAAGUAUUUUUAUCAGUACAAAAAUUUUCCUUAUAUGGGAAAAAAUAUUAAAUACUAGAGAAAAUUAUUCCAUAUACUUGAAAGAAGCAGAAACAGCAUUUCUGAGUUGCAAAGUUUUUAAAGUUAAUGUUGUUGAACCCUACAAUACCUUAAAAAUAUACUUUGCUAUUGAUAAUAGAGGUUCUUAUGCACUAAGAUAUAUUGAGUCUAAUUGCCUACAAGAAUUAAAAGAUAGAGAAUUAUUCUCAGGAAAUAAAAUAGAUUUGUUUGUUACUUGCACUUCUGCUACAGUUAUAUGGCAUGAAGGUAAAAGUGAAAAUACUGAAAAGCAGUUGUAUUAUUUUAAGGUUAAUAUAUUUAUGAUUGAAAAUUCAACACUGCAUAAAAGUUACAGUACAAUUGCAAGUAAACUGAGCUACACAGCGUUUAAGUUAGUUUCAAAUUCGUUUUAUCAAUUUGAAGUUGAAAAGAUUGAUCAGCAAACUAGUGCAAGUAUAUUAUACAAAAGAACUAUUUUAACAGAAGUUGCUCCUUGUAUAAAUGAAAUAUCCAAUGAAGUCAAUAAAAAAGAAAAAGAAAUAUUAGAUAACAGCGCUGAAAAGAAAAGAAAAGAAAAAGAAAUCAUAAAUAAAGAUAGAAAAAAAACUAUUAUAUCUAAAUUGGAUGAUAUAGUUCUGAAAAUGGAUGAAACCUAUGGUUUAGAGCAUGCAAUGAAAUUGUUGAAUGCAUUCGAAGAGCGAAUCAAGAUAGAAGUUAACUUAUUCAAUCAACUUAACAUUUCUUCUAAAACCAUUGAGAUGAAUAAAAUAGUUAUUACGCUGCUGAAGUUAAAUUAUUAUCAAAGUAACAUUAUGUUAAAUGGUGGUUUUGUUGAAGCUCCCAAUGAAUUAUUUGUUACAGGGAAUCGGUCCAAUGUUUUAGUUAUGGGAUACUUUUAUGAAAUUAUUAACAUGAUUGGUGUUUUGAAAGGAACACAGUUGCGUAAAAAAAAUGCAAGUUUUACUUCUCUCAACUCUGAAUUAAUGGCUGUUUCAAUAUUUCCACAGCGGACAGAGUCAUUUAAAAAACCUGUUGUAAUUGUCCAAAAGUUUAAAACGUUUUUAGAUUUAACUCCUAACUGUGUCUACUUAAAGUAUGAAAACGGAAGUGUAAUUUGGUCAGAUGAAGGAUGUUUUUUGCAUAAGUUUAACUCAACACACAUUACUUGUCACUGUUUUCACUUAACAAAUUUUGCUAUUCUAAUGUCUGUAACAAACAAUGUGGCAUUGUUAUCGAAAACAAAUGCUGCUAUCAUGAACAUCAUUACAGUGUCUGGAAUAAUAAUAUCUCUCUUUUUCUUACUACUAUCUUUUUUAACUUUCUUAUUUGUCAGAUCUAUUCAGUCCAUUCGAACUACUAUACAUAAAAAUGUAGUGGCUUCAUUGUUCAUUUCACAAUUCAUAUUUUUGUUUGUUGAUCGAGCAGAUAAUAAGAUAGUUUGUCAAGUAAUUGGCGCAUCACUGCAUUAUUUCUUUUUGGUUUCAUUUUUUAUGAUGGGAUUUGAAGGAGUUGUUCUUUACUUAAUGCUUGUUAAAGUUUUUCGCGUAUUGAAUAAUUCAAUGGGUAAAUGCUUAAAGUAUAUUGCAUUAUGUUGGGCUUUGCCUAUUUUGAUUGUAACAUUGAACUUGGCCAUUGAUAUCCGUGCUUAUGGUAAAAAUCUUAACCAUUGUUGGUUGUCAGUACGAAAUGGGUUUAUUUGGAGUUUUGUUGGACCUGUAACCCUGAUUAUUUCGAUCAAUUUUUACAUAUUCAUUAAAACUCUACUAGUGGUUUCAUCAAAAUCAAAGAAACGUAGUUCAAAUGCAGCUUUAAUUUGGUUUUGGAUUAAAAGUACAUCUUUAGUGCUUUGCAUUCUUGGAAUUACUUGGAUAGUUGGUGUAUUCUAUAUUGAUUCAGAUACCCUUUUUUUUGGUUAUAUAUUUACAGUUGUGAACAGUCUGCAGGGCUUUUCUAUUUUUGUUUUCCACUGCUUGGUAGAUGCUAAAGUUCGUUCAGCUUGGAGAGAUUUAUUCGGAUUAGAAAAAACCUAUCCAUUUUUAUCAAGAAGUAAUCCCACUGCAGUAUCUCCAAAUCAAAAAUAUUCAAUUUUCCUUAGGAAAAAACGGUUGCCACGGUAACAUAAUUCAUGUACAUGUAUAUUAGUGUGGACUAAUAUUAAGGAAUGUGCAUCAAAUUUUUUACAUAGUCAUCACCAUGGUUUCUGUAAAAUUUAGCUAUAUUGACUAUUAUAAACUAGACACUAAAUAAUCGGUCUCGAGUCUCGAUUUAUCGUCUGGUUUUAGUGCGAUACUAUACAGUAUCGGUAUCGAAAUCACGCGAUUCUGGUAUCGAAAGUAUCGCUAAUGUUGGUAUCGUUUGGUAUCGAUACGAUAUUUUACAGUAUCGCCAUUGAGAUCACGCGAUAAUGGUACCGAAAGUAUCGGUUAUGUUGGUAUCGUUUGGUCUCGAUGCGAUAUCUUACAGUAUCGAUAUCGAGAUCACACGGUACUAGUAUCAAAAGUUAUCGCAUUCGUUGGUAUUGUUUUGUACAGUAUAAAGGAUGAGGACAAUUUUUUCAAUUUUUUCUAUCGUGAUUAAAAGGAAAGAUUUUGUUUAAUAUUUA